rnacentral:rRNA from 1 species
UACGUAGGGGGCAAGCGUUGUCCGGAAUCAUUGGGCGUAAAGCGCGUGUAGGCGGUCCGGUAAGUCGGUUGUGAAAGUCCAGGGCUCAACCCUGGGAUGCCGACCGAUACUGUCGGACUAGAGUUCGGAAGAGGCGAGUGGAAUUCCCGGUGUAGCGGUGAAAUGCGCAGAUAUCGGGAGGAACACCAAUGGCGAAGGCAGCUCGCUGGGACGUUACUGACGCUGAGACGCGAAAGCGUGGGGAGCAAACAGGAUUAGAUACCCCAGUAGUCC